UCAGAAUGGGGUCAGCAGUUCUGUGGAGAUUUCCUGGGUUGAGUCCUUUGUGUUUCUCGGGUAACUUAAAGCUGUGUCUGCUCUUGCCUCUGUUUGCAGCUGCCGCGCCUCUGGCCUUGGCCCCCACAGAAGCCCCUCCUGGUUGUCAGUGGCAGCUGUUAGCUGUGCAGUGCCAGCAGUCUGUGGAAACGGCAGCACUUGGGAGGAUGACACAGUUUGCCUGAUUUUAUGCUUUCUGGAUGCGGUCAGGGCAUGGGCACAGCUGACAACACACUGAUGGUGUCCUGCUGGGAAAUGGAUGCGCUGGAUGGCAGAGGAGGAUUCUGAGCCCAGUAUGGGAUCAUCUUUGUUCCUUCGUGAAGGGUCCCCUGAGACGAGCACUGAGUCAGCCUCGGGAGCGCAUUGAAGGCAACUCAGCUGUGUGAGCAGAAGGGCUGCAGCCUGGCUGCGCCUCUCCUGGGCCCCACCGAAGGACCGACUGCCUCUGGGGAAGGAUCUCUCUCUGGACGUCGCCCCUCUUGGAGUCUUUUCCCGCGAGCCCAGGUCACAGGUAAGCUCUCCGUUCAUUUCUGAUUCUCCCUCUCUAAUGCGACCAUCUUUGCAGCCUGCCCUCUCUGCAUCCUUACUGAUUGACAUCUGGGAUCUGGUUGUUGAUGCGCUUGGCGAGCCAGGCAGGCCAAAGGUGCUGCCAGGAAAGGAAGGGUGGCCGUGGUGGGCGACUCCCUUCUCGGAGGAAUGCAGGGCCCCAUCUGCAGACUGGACCCGAAGCACUGGGAAGUGUGCUGCCUUCCUGGGUCAGGGCCAUAGCCAGGAACCUCCCCAGGCUGGUUAGGGCCACUGGUUCUUUUCCUUUACUCGUAGUUCAGCUUAGCAGUGAGGAAAUUGCUCAGAGAAGGCUACAAAUGAUGACGAGAGAUUUCAGUGGUUUCUGGGAUGUGGGGCUUUUGUGGGGUACGG